rnacentral:rRNA from 1 species
AGCGAACGCUGGCGGCAGGCCUAACACAUGCAAGUCGAACAAAGUCUUCGGACUUAGUGGCGGACGGGUGAGUAACACGUGGGAACGUGCCUUUAGGUUCGGAAUAACUCAGGGAAACUUGUGCUAAUACUGAAUGUGCCCUUCGGGGGAAAGAUUUAUCGCCUUUAGAGCGGCCCGCGUCUGAUUAGCUAGUUGGUGAGGUAAAGGUUCACCAAGGCGACGAUCAGUAGCUGGUCUGAGAGGAUGAUCAGCCACAUUGGGACUGAGACACGGUCCAAACGCGUACGGGAGGAAGCAGUGGGGAAUCUUGCGCAGUGGGCGAAAGCCUGACGCAGCCAUGCCGCGUGAAUGAUGAAGGUCUUAGGAUUGUAAAACUCUUUCACCGGGGACGAUAAUGACGGUACCCGGAGAAGAAGCCCCGGCUAACUUCGUGCCAGCCGCCGCAGUAACAC